AUUGAACGCUGGCGGCAGGCCUAACACAUGCAAGUCGAGCGAGCGGCGGACGGGUGAGUAAUGUAUGGGGACUUCCCGAUAGAGGGGGAUAACUACUGGAAACGGUAGCUAAUACCGCAUACUAUCGGAUAACCCAUAUGGGAUUAGCUAGUUGGUUAGGUAAUGGCUCACCUAGGCGACGAUCCCUAGCUGGUCUGAGAGGAUGAUCGGCCACACUGGGACGGAGAAACGGCCCAGACUCCGACGGAGGCAGCAGUGGGGAAUAUUGCACAAUGGGCGCAAGCCGGAUGCAGCCAUGCCGGGUGUAGGAAGAAGGCCCUAGGGUUGUAAAGUACUUUCAGUCGGGAGGCGUUACCGACAGAAGAAGCACCGGCUAACUCCGUGCCAGCAGCCGCGGUAAUUC
rnacentral:rRNA from 1 species